GACGAAGGUGGCAAGCGUUGCUCGGAAUCACUGGGCAUAAAGCGCGCGUAGGUGGCCUUAUAAGUCGGCGGUGAAAUCCCAUCGCUCACCGAUGGAACUGCCGCCGAUACUAUAGGGCUUGAGGACGGUAGGGGAGAGUGGAACUCCUGGUGUAGCGGUGAAAUGCGUAGAUAUCAGGAGGAACGCCGGUGGCGAAAGCGACUCUCUGGGCCGUUCCUGACACUGAAGCGCGAGAGCUAGGGGAGCAAACAGG
rnacentral:rRNA from 1 species